CCUACGGUGCGCAGCAGUGAGGAAUAUUGGUCAAUGGACGCAAGUCUGAACCAGCCAUGCCGCGUGCAGGAAGACGGCUCUCUGAGUUGUAAACUGCUUUUGUACGAGGGUAAACGCAGAUACGCGUAUCUGUCUGAAAGUAUCGUACGAAUAAGGAUCGGCUAACUCAGUGCCAGCAGCCGCGGUAAUACGGAGGAUUCAAGCGUUAUCCGGAUUUAUUGGGUUUAAAGGGUGCGUAGGCGGUCGGAUAAGUUAGAGGUGAAAUCCCGAGGCUCAACUUCGGAAUUGCCUCUGAUACUGUUCGGCUAGAGAGUAGUUGCGGUAGGCGGAAUGUAUGGUGUAGCGGUGAAAUGCUUAGAGAUCAUACAGAACACCGAUUGCGAAGGCAGCUUACCAAGCUACUUCUGACGUUGAGGCACGAAAGCGUGGGGAGCAAACAGGAUUAGAUACCCCAGUAGUC
rnacentral:rRNA from 1 species